CUAUUUUAUGUGCGAUGAAUGAUAACAAUUUGUCAGCUCGUCCAGAGCACUUUAGUGAAAGUGGCUUUUAUGCCUAUAAUGAAGGUUGUUUUUUUUUUCUUUCUCAUGAGCGACUAAUAAUACGAUCUCAGGAUAUGGAGGAAGCAGGGGGCUACUUAACUCUUGAGGCCCAUUUCUGACCACAAUCUCUGUAACCGAAAGGGUUGUGAAGACCGAAAAUCGUCCGCGCUGCCUUUCACAUCGAGAGGAUAAAAUGAAGUUAAUGCGUAAGCCAUUUGCAAAGUGCCAUCUAAAACGGCAGAAUUGUGAGGAAGGUACUGAUGUGCGCCAAAUUAUUCUAUCAUUCCACAUUGCGCAAAAAUUCACAAAGAUGCAUGGCGAGUCCUGAAAGUCAUCUAUCAAAUCGGUGAUCGCUGUGAUGGAGGAGGGGCCAGGGCUCAAAUCCCGUCUGAUGACCCAUAAUUCACCUGAAAUCAAAGCCGUAGUGAAAAAAAUGACCGAUAACUCAAACAUUUUUAAUCCGAAAUUCAAUAGAAGAAGAUUGAACGGGUCAGUACCCAGAAGGAGAGAAUACGGUGGUUUAUGACACAAGGGCAUAGACGGAAGUAGUGAGGAAAAAUGGAAUGUGGCCGCGAUGUCGUGCUUCAAUACACCAGCCCAUAAAGAGCUUGAUAAAACUGCCGAUCCUGCCGCCGACAUAUUAAAGUGACACGCUUUAAUGUAUUUGUGUGACCGUGGCAGUGUACACUAUUAUUUUAACGCUACAAGUUUAAUGGAUAUUAUCAAUUUACAGCGACCGCGGUGAUGAGAAGAGGGGAAGACAUCGCCAUGAUUCUUACCGGCCCUGGAAGAAAAAUGAUGCAACAAGUUCCAUAAACCGAUAGAACCUAUAAUAAAAUCAAUACGGGAAGAGUUACUACAACUCCCCAUUAGGGUCGGAUUUAAAGGGAAACUCCAAUUUUGGGAUCACUUUAUGGUAAGCCCAAAAUGGAAAAAAAAAAUUAUUGUAGGGCUGCCUUCUAAACAAAAACAACAAUUUAACACCUGAUUUAGAAAAACUUUUGAUCGGUGGGGGUCUCAGUGCUGAUAUCCCUGCCGUCCUCCAGAUACCGUAGCGUACUUCACUCACCGGCUCAAUGCUUCCUCUGAGCCAUUUUAGGAGACAGGCUCAAUAGACUAUAAGGCUAGGUUCAGACUACGGAAUCUCGGGGGCAGAAAAUUUCCGCCCGGAGAUUCCGAGUGUGGCCAGCGCCGGAUGAAUCAGUCGGCGCUAGGACCGCGAGGACACUGCGAUCUCCAAUAGACUGCAAUGUGUUCCGCGCGAAUUUCCACCUGAAGAAAGAGCAACCCCUUUCUUCAGGCGGAAAUUUCUAAGUGGAUUGUCCGUUCACAAAUUCCGCUUCACAAAUUCCGAAGUGUGAAUUUGUGAAUGGAAAACCAUUCACUAUACUAUACAUUUUGGCAAGCGGAAUUUCCGUCUGCAAUUUCAAAGCAGAAUUGCAGGUGGAAAUUCCGCAGUCUGAACUUAAUCUAACAGAGCCUGUCUCCUGCAAGAGUGCUGAGCCUGGGAGUGAAGCUUGCAGCUGUGUGCUUCGCCCUGCUAUAUCUAAGAAUAGAUGGUGGUCUCAGCACUGACACUGCAAUAAAGAAAGAAAGAAAAAAAUACUACAGCUGCUUAUAGUAAGUGUUUAAUUUCAUUACUUCUGUCUUACAAUAGAACUGCACAUGACAGCUCUUACUAGAAGCUGCAGCAUCUUUCUAAGUCUGUAUAUCUCACUGCAGCUGAUCCCUCUUCCUCCCCUUCCCUUCUCCAUAGACUUUUAUAUGCAGCGACAAAAACAAGAUCUACGCUUGGUCCUCAUGUGUGCAAAUUUUAAGAGUAAAGUAAGAGUAAAGGAUUAGUGGUGGGGAGUAAGAUAGAAGUCUAAUAAGUAGAGAAUAAAAGACAUACUGCUGCUGCUUCUUGUAAGUGUUUUACACUUAGCAGCACUGCACAUUACUGCUCUAUUAUGUCCUCCAUUCUGCAGUGUAAAUCUCUCUGCAGAUGCUCCCUCCUCCUCUCCCUUGUCCAUAGACUUUUAUAGUCAGCAGCUGUAACUUGAUCUCUUCUGUUAUAUAAUACACAAUGAUUUUUUUUUUUAUCUCCACUGUCAUAAAAAAAAUAAAAAAUAAACUUCUGACAUGUUAUAGAUGCAUUUUCUUGCAUCCAGAGUCCUACCUGGGAGAAGCGCUAAACGGUUCGAUUUUGUAAAUCAUCAAUUGGUGAAUUUUUUUUUGACAUGUCAUAGUAACACAAUG